rnacentral:rRNA from 1 species
UACGUAGGGUGCAAGCGUUAAUCGGAAUUACUGGGCGUAAAGCGUGCGUAGGCGGCGAGGCAAGUCUGGUGUGAAAUCCCGGGGCUCAACCCCGGAACUGCACUGGAUACUGCUUUGCUAGAGUACUGGAGAGGGAACUGGAAUUUACGGUGUAGCAGUGAAAUGCGUAGAUAUCGUAAGGAAGACCAGCGGCGAAGGCGAGUUCCUGGACAGUUACUGACGCUGAGGCACGAAGGCCAGGGGAGCAAACGGG